rfam:Picea glauca, whole genome shotgun sequence.
ACAUGCCUACAACAUAGUGGUAAUUCACUGAAUCCCAUUAAAACUCCGUAGUUAAGUGCGCUCAGGCUAGAGUAGUACUGGGAUGGGUGACCACCUGGGAAAUCCUACUAUUUUACAUGCC